rnacentral:rRNA from 1 species
CUGACUGCUAUCGGAUGAUACUAAGCCAUGCGAGUCAUUGUAGUAAUACAAGGCAGACGGCUCAGUAACACGUAGUCAACCUACCCUAUGGACAAGAAUAAUCUCGGGAAACUGGGCAUAAUUCUUGAUAGAUCAUAAUGCCUGGAAUGGUUUAUGGUUAAAAUGAUUCGUCGCCAUAGGAUGGGACUGCGGCCUAUCAGCUUGUUGGUGAGGUAAUGGCCCACCAAGGCGAUUACAGGUACGGGCUCUGAGAGGAGAAGCCCGGAGAUGGGUACUGAGACACGGACCCAGGCCCUAUGGGGCGCAGCAGGCGAGAAAACUUUGCAAUGUGCGAAAGCACGACAAGGUUAAUCCGAGUGAUUUCUGCUAAAGAAAUCUUUUGCCAGUCAUAAAACCACUGGUGAAUAAGGGGUGGGCAAGUUCUGGUGUCAGCCGCCGCGGUAAAACCAGCACCUCAAGUGGUCAGGAUGAUUAUUGGGCCUAAAGCAUCCGUAGCCGGCUUUGUUAGUUUUCGGUUAAAUCCAUGUGCUCAACGCAUGGGCUGCCGAAAAUACUGCAUAGCUAGGGAGUGGGAGAGGUAGACGGUACUCAGUAGGAAGGGGUAAAAUCCUUUGAUCUAUUGAUGACCACCUGUGGCGAAGGCGGUCUACCAGAACACGUUCGACGGUGAGGGAUGAAAGCUGGGGGAGCAAACCGGAUUAGAUACCCGGGUAGUCCCAGCUGUAAACGAUGCAGACUCGAUGAUGCAUUGGCAUAAUAGCCAGUGCAGUGUCGCAGGGAAGCCGUUAAGUCUGCCGCCUGGGAAGUACGUACGCAAGUAUGAAACUUAAAGGAAUUGGCGGGGGGGCACCACAAGGGGUGAAGCCUGCGGUUCAA